rnacentral:piRNA from 1 species
UGGUGACAACUUGAAUUUUUGAUUUCAU